GGAGAAACAUAAUAUUUACAAGUUUAUUAUACCAUAAAGUCUUAAUAAUACAUAGUUACUCACUUCCCCCUAGUUUUAGAGGAGGAUAAUAACAAUAAUCAUAAUAAUGUCGUUAAGCUAUUAAUUAACAUCUAGCUCUAAAACAAGUAUUCAACCAUGGACACACCGGAGGAAGUAGACCAUGGUACUUGAAUAACAACCAUGCACUUCUCAUACUCAAAUUCAACUUCUCUUCCAUCAAUUCUGCAAUUUCUUGGCUUCUCUGAAGCAAACACCCUCAUUUCUCCGGCACCCUUUACCCCGAUUCGGAAGGAUCCAUCGGUGUCAUUGGAGGCCAUGGACUGGAUUGCACCGCCAGUGUUGAGCAUGUUUACCAGGCCAAUGGGUGCAAAUUGAACUGAUUUUCCUUCUGGGAUUAUAACUGGAGAGACAGUGACAAGUUCAAAAUUGAAUGGCUCUAGUGAUAUUUCAAUCUUGUCAUGUGGCUUGGAGAGGAGAAGCUUCUUGGUUUGGGACAAGUACAUGGCAAAUACUUGAACUCCUUCAAUAGAGAUUGGGUUCUUGCCACUGUUCCAUUCGAUGUCUUUAGCAUUGGUUUUGGUAGUCACCAGGUGAGAAAAUUGGGAGGCACAUUUGUUUCUUCUUGUCUCCCUACACCAACCCCCUCCUUGGCAGUUGAAUACUCCAAUAACUCCUGUAAACUUGUUGAGGUUCCAAAUUUUGAGCAUGGUCUUGCCAUCAUGGAGAGGGUCCUGGAAAAGGCAAUCUCUAGUCGGAAGAGCAUAGUACUGGCACCGGAGAAUUGAACCGUCAGGCAAAACAAGACGUUUAAGCAAUGAAAAGUUGUGCUUUCCAACUGAGUCACUAACGUAAAUAGGGCCACCAGAAAUUGCCCUAGAAGCAGCAUGGAACUCAGCACAAGGAUGAGUAGACUGAAACAUAUCCCAGUCUGGGUGUAUAAAAUUGCCCAUCCACAAGCUAUUAUAAGCACAAUGCACCAUGUGACAACCUUGAAGCCAAAAUGUACCAUUUGGAUCCCCAGAUGGAUCAGUGCACCAAAAAUCAUCACCAACACGACCAAGAGAUAUGGCCUCAGUUCCAAGGAACAUGAAAUCGUUGCAGUGUUCCAUGCUAGCAAUCACUCCAUUCCCAUUAAAAUGUUUCCUCACUGAAGCUGUUAAUGCCUUGUAAUAUGCCUUUGCCAGAUCCACUCUCCCUCCAUAGUUCUCACACACCAUUUCCAACAAGUGAAUAACGUCCACUUUGACGCCGUCAAUCCCGACCUUCUUCAAGUGCGAGUGAAGACCCUCGUACAUGUCAUCAACUUUCUCCGGCCGGACCAACCCCACGCCAGUGUUCACGAUCUUGUCCACCGCCAGGUCCUCCAUCGUCAACUUCAAUCCCGGUGACAGUUUUGGCUUUUCCACUACCGUUUCUGGGAGUCCGGGGACAUUUGGCCUCAGACCACCCCAGUACCCACAUAGUGCAUGCCACACGUAGACAUAGUCAACAGUGUUGAAUUCAUCCUUCAGGUCCUUGAUAAAGGCACCCAUGCCCUUGUUAGUGGAACCGGUGGCCAAGCUUUUAGGACUCACGUAGUCCCUGAAUUUGUAAUUCUCUUGAAAUUUCAAUAGCCUGCAUGGCAUUUGCUCGCCGGCGACCGUGUGAUUCAUGCCUUCUUUGGUGAUUGGGUCCUCAUCGUGGCUGAUGGAUUGCCACCCAUCAUCUAUUAAGAUGAAACCUGGUGGGCAUCCACCUUCGACGAUACCCUUAACACCUUCCCAAACACCUUGAGGGUGUACGGUAAGAUAGAAUGCAUCCCACGUGCACCACCCAAACUUGUCUACUAUUCCUGGAGGAGUCUUCUCCUCUAACAGCUUGAAGGUACCCAAAUGAAGUCUAACCACCUUCGUCGCCUCCUUGACCAAGUUGAACGGAUCGUCGCCAACAUGAACGUAAAGAAUGCUCCGGAAUCCUGUGGCGGAGACUUUGGUGGAGCCACUUUCGACGCAAAUAUCGAUAUUGUCGUCAUCGCCUGGCUGGAGAGACGCCCGGAAUGGACCUUCAAGAAGAGGAAGAAGGAGAACAUAGGGUCGACCAGAAUUGGAUUUAUCAAGAAUUACCAUCUGGGUUUCGUUUUCAAGGUCAUUGCCAUUGGAUCCAACCCAGUGGGUAGUCCACCAGACCUUGAACCUGAAAAUGCUCAUGAACCGUAUGUUCUUGAGUUUCCCAAUGGGGAAAACAUGACCGUCUUUGGCUUCCAUGGAGUCGAAUCCAAUGAAGGAUCCGACGGCGGAUAAAGAUUUGUCUGUGAGGCUGUAUGGAGAGGGAGUGACUGUGAUAUUCUCAGGGAUGUCGGAGAGAAAGACAUGACCAUUGGCAGUGAAAUUUGAUCCUUCAAGAGAGAUGCCAGACUGGUUAUAGGUCUCAAUGAGCCCUGCAACACUUGAACUAGCUUUGCUUAAGCUAGGAGCCAUUGUUGCACACAGAAAGAAAAGAAAACAAGAACGCAAGAACACAAGAUAGGUAAAAAAAAAAAAGAAAAAAUGGAAAUCGAAACGAAAAAGAGAUUCUGUGUAGAUUGUGUUUGGUUGAUUCUUGAUCGUUUGUUUUAAUGGUCUAUUGAACUUGCCUUUUGUUUUGCUCUACACCAACUGGUAAGUGCCCCUUACUUACAGGCCAACCCUGCCAUGGAAAGUCUGAGAGGACAGAGGAGGAAGAUCGAGUGAAGAGUUUUUGACCGUCCAGUUGUACUUUAGAGUUAAGUUUAUCAGAAAAGGGUGUGAAUUAAGGAAAUUACAGAAGAGGGUUGAGUGGCAAGUCAGCUAUCAGAAAACCCUAAUCAAAACAGCGUUUUUAAACAAAAAGUUCAAAGAAAACACUAAUAGUCAUAAUGGCGUUUGCGUCUCCACCUUGGCACCCGAAAGCGGCGGCAUUGUCCACACCGAAAACGCCAUUUAUAAUGGCGUCCCACCUUACAGCAUUGUCCCCGAAAACGCCAUUUAUAAUGGCAUCCCACCCCAA
rnacentral:misc_RNA from 1 species